rnacentral:ncRNA from 1 species
AACCGGCAGUGAAUUGGCACUGCUGAAGGCCAAUUGGGGCGAGAAUG